rnacentral:rRNA from 1 species
AACGAACGCUGGCGGCAUGCCUAACACAUGCAAGUCGAACGAGACCUUCGGGUCUAGUGGCGCACGGGUGCGUAACGCGUGGGAACCUGCCCUUAGGUUCGGAAUAACUCCCCGAAAGGGGUGCUAAUACCGGAUAAUGUCUUCGGACCAAAGAUUUAUCGCCUUUGGAGGGGCCCGCGUUGGUUUAGCUAGUUGGUAGGGGAAAAGCCUACCAAGGCGACGAUCCUUAGCUGGUCUGAGAGGAUGAGCAGCCACACUGGGGCUGAGACCCGGCCCGGACUCCUGCGGGAGGCAGCAGUGGGGAAUAUUGGACAAUGGGCGAAAGCCUGAUCCAGCAAUGCCGCGUGAGUGAUGAAGGCCUUAGGGUUGUAAAGCUCUUUUACCCGGGAUGGUAAUGACAGUACCGGAAGAAUAAGCACCGGCUAACUCCGUG